AGCCUCCUGAAUGACUGACUACUGCAGUGUAGACAAGAAGGACAUUUAAUGCUACAUCACUGGAAGGGGCAUAAUGUCCAUGAUCCUUCCCAGCUGGAGAUCCAAUUUUCAGCUCAUGUCCCUCUUAAGAAGUGACUCUUCUCACCAAAGAGAGAGAAAUGCAAAAAUACUGUAGAGAAGAUAUACAACCUGAAGAGUGAACCCUCAUA
rnacentral:lncRNA from 1 species